rnacentral:lncRNA from 1 species
CACAAUAUUCCAAAACCAGGUAUUAAAUAUAAGUUCCAUAGAAGUUUGACCGCAAACUGACACUAAUUUUUCAAAAAAAAAUCUCGUACAAUAAUAGCUAUUAACAUUAAUGUUCUCAAAACCCUUGAAUAUUAAAUAAUAAAAUAAAAUAAAAUAAAAAAGCACCACAAUCCACUCUCCAGCUCCAAACAUCCUUUUAAGCAGCAACAUGGUUCAAAGAUGGAUUGUAAGGAAGGAAUUAAGCACCAAUUGUCCGCCCACCGCCAUCUCCAUAGGACCCAUCAUCUUAAUGGUGGUGAUACGGUGAAAAGCUAAAAUAAUAAUACGUCAAUAUCAAGUACACCAUCCUACAAUGAUCCCCAACUCCCCCCACAUAAACCAGACUUUGGAGUUCACUUGACACCGCACACAAAAAAAGCCAACUAAAUGCAAAAUGUAGAUCACCAUCAAAAGCAAUUACAAAACUUAGAAGCACUUCCUGUGGACAAUGGAUGGACCGGAUUCAUCAUACUCACCCUUGGAAAUCCACAUCUGUAAAGCAAGAACGUCAGUGUCAGACAACCAUCACACGAAAGAAGUAAAGCCAAAAAUACAAAAAUAUUUACCUGCUGGAAGGUGCUGAGUGAUGCCAAGAUAGAUCCUCCAAUCCAGACACUGUACUUUCUCUCUGGUGGCGCAACGACCUUAAUCUUCAUGCUGCUUGGAGCAAGUGCAGUGAUCUCCUUGCUCAUGCGGUCUGCAAUACCAGGGAACAUGGUUGAACCCCCACUGAGCACAAUGUUACCGUAGAGAUCCUUCCUGAUAUCCACAUCACACUUCAUGAUAGAGUUGUAGGUAGUUUCAUGGAUUCCAGCAGCUUCCAUCCCGAUGAAAGAUGGCUGGAAGAGGACUUCCGGGCAACGGAAUCUCUCAGCUCCAAUAGUAAUGACUUGUCCGUCAGGCAACUCAUAGUUCUUCUCAACAGAUGAGCUGCUCUUCGCAGUCUCCAGUUCCUGCUCAUAGUCCAGGGCAACAUAAGCAAGCUUCUCCUUCAUGUCACGGACAAUUUCCCGUUCAGCAGUGGUGGUGAACAUGUAACCUCUCUCGGUAAGAAUCUUCAUCAAGGCAUCGGUUAGAUCACGACCUGCAAGGUCAAGACGGAGGAUGGCAUGUGGAAGGGCAUAUCCUUCAUAGAUUGGCACGGUGUGAGAAACACCAUCACCGGAAUCCAGCACAAUACCUAUCCCAAUAGAGAGAGAAUCCAGUGUCAACAUGAUUCCAAAAUACCAUUAAAAUGAGAAAAGCUCGUAGAAGUUUCGAGUCUAACAAACCUGUUGUACGACCACUGGCAUACAAAGAGAGGACAGCCUGGAUGGCAACAUACAUAGCAGGUACAUUGAAGGUCUCAAACAUGAUCUGAGUCAUCUUUUCUCUAUUGGCCUUGGGGUUGAGAGGUGCCUCCGUGAGAAGCACAGGGUGCUCCUCAGGAGCAACACGGAGUUCAUUGUAGAAUGUAUGAUGCCAGAUCUUUUCCAUAUCAUCCCAGUUGCUCACAAUACCAUGCUCAAUAGGAUAUUUCAAAGUAAGGAUACCUCUUUUAGAUUGUGCUUCAUCUCCUACAUAGGCAUCCUUCUGACCCAUCCCAACCAUAACACCAGUGUGCCGGGGACGACCAACAAUACUGGGAAAAACUGCCCUUGGAGCAUCAUCACCAGCAAAACCAGCCUGCAUUACAGACAAAAUUAGCUUAACCAUAAUAUACUUUUCAGAAAGAAAUAAGCAAUAACCGAGAUUUAUAACUCAGGGUUAGAGGUGUUCAUAGAAAGGGCCAGGUUUGUGUAUGAUAUCAUCAUAAUUCCUAUGUGCACAAGCUUGGCUUAGUCCAAAAUAUGAUCUUAAAUUUUACUCAAAUCCACCAAUACUACUAUUUUUUAAAAUAUAGUUUUCAUUUAAUAUUUAGUAUUUUUUGGUAUUCUUCAUACCGGUUUUAUACUCCAUGUUUGAGAAUUGUAGUUAAAUUAUAAUAUUAUAUAUUUAACUAUCAUAUAUAUAUAUAUAUAGAUUAUAUAAUAGAAAUGAGCUGAGCUGGUUUCAAGCUUUGAAUGUAGAAGCCUGCGCUAGGCCCACUUAAAACGAAUUUUUUUUUCGUCUAAGCCUAAAGGCCAGGAGUUAGGUUUGCUUUAGUCUAAACAUUAACUAACCUUCACCAUUCCAGUUCCAUUAUCACAGACGAGGGGUUGAAUAUCCUCACCGUCGGCCAUCUUUUACAAUACUGCAAACAAGAAUCGAGGUAGUGAGUGCAGCAAAAAACACUUGUCAACGCGUAUUAUGUGCCCUUCAACUAAUCUAGACAAGUUAAAUUAAAGACAUUUGACAAAUCAAUUUCUAGUUUCUCUAAAUGGAAAAAGAAGAAGUAAAGAGCAGAAACACUUGGUCAACAUUAAUUUCUUCAAAUACAGAAAAUAGAACAGCCCAAUGUCCUAGCUGUCUAUGAAACAGCGCAAACAACUAUAGUAGUUAAAAUCGUAGGCAACAUUUAUUUGUGAGAAUCUAAUCAAGCUACCGUAUAAUUCGAUGAACAACAAAUUGAACCAAUUAGAAAUAAAGAUCGAGAUUAGAGCUGUUAAAGCUCUUAAAACAAAAACUUUGAAAAGUAUCGAAUCUACACAAUGAAAGCAUUAAUCAAUACAAGUUGGUCGAAGAUCAAGUUCAAAACAAAGAGAAACAAUCAAUUCUCGUUAGAUCUAUAAAGAAAUAGCAAAUGUAAUGAAGUGGAUCGAGCUAAGUAAAGAUCCAGCUACAAUAGGAGCAGAUCGAGUUAAAUCUAACACUCCGAAACGCUUUAGAAGCUUCUAGAACUGUAGAUCUCAGUUGCAUCAUAACCAAAACAUCAAACUCAAGCAUCAAAUACACAGAUCUGCAGAUUUUGAAGAAAAAUAAAAGCAAAAUAGAAGAUUUACCUGAAUAAAUGAAAGAACGAAAGAGGAACUUCGGAGAAGGAGAGAGAGCGAAGUAGAAGAAGAAGCAAAAACGACGACGCUUUUUUUCCCCUUUACUCUCUUCUCUGUAGUUGUGGUGCAGCUGCUGGAGACGUAAAUGCAGUGUGUAAGAGAAGAAAGAAAACCGGUAUUUAUCUAUCUACAAUUUCUUUUCCCCUUUUUUUUUGGAUAGGAUAUUUUUUUAAUGUUUUAAAAAUAAAAAAAUUAUUUAUUUUAAAAUAAAUUUUGUUUAAUAAAUAUAUUUGAGAUAAUAACAAUUUUGUACAUAUAUUUUCUUAAAAUGUUCAAUUAGGCUCCGUUUAUUUGUCAGUAAAAUAUUUUCCAGAAAAUGAUUUCUGGAAAAUGAUUUACUUUUUUGGAAAUUAUUUACUUUUAUUGUGUUUGAAUGAAUUUGUGUAAAAUAUUUUCUAUUGUUUAGCAGAUUUCUUGAAAAUAUUUUCCUGAAAAGUUGUUUUAAGAAAUUUAUAUAUUUAAAAAUUUAUUAUUUUUUCAUUAUUUGAUUGAGUUUAUUAUAUAUAUUAAUAAAUUUAUAUUUUAAAUUAUUUUUACAUAUAUUGCAAUAAUUUAUUUAUAAAUAAAUAAAUCAUUUUAAAUAUAUAAUAAUGCACAAUUAUUAAACUAGAAUAUUAACGGUUAUAAAUUGAAAACAACCAAAAUCAAAUAAAUUAUUUGUAAUUGUGUUAUAAAAAAAUAAAAAAAAAAUUGAAUAAUUAUAAAUUAGCUUCCAAACCACAAUUAAUACUAGAAAUUAAUAAUCCCAAUAACAUUAAUUCUUAACACCUUCCAUGAAAAUACUUCGACAUUGCACUACCAUUAACAUUUUCACCAAACAGUUAAUGCUGGAGCGGUUCGUCUGUUAGAUGUUACUCUAAGCUCCUAUUCUGAUUUGCUAAGCUACAACGACUUGACACAAUUGUUCUUGAAAGGCCUGCAUCAAGCCUCAUUAAGUAAAUUGGUUGAAGCUUAAAUGCAAAAAUACGAGAGACAAAAGUAACCAAGUAAUUCUCAAUGAGACUUUUGUGUGGUAGAACUUAAAAUGUAUAACUAGUAUCGAACAAGGUCAGAAAUAAGAAAAAAACAAAGAGAAAAAAGGGCAUGUUGCUGCCAUUUUUGAAAUGAUUUAAUAUCGCCGAAGUAAUGUUUAAACCCAAUUAUUCAAGGCAAAGAUAAAAAAUCGGAACUAAAUUAGAAGUAAAUGAAUCUCGAAACAACUUACCUUUCAAAAGUUAAUAGCUACAUUGAGCUGUCAAGUAAUGCUUAUUUUUUUGUUUUAUUUAAUUUUUCACAAUAAUGUUAUAGUAUUCACAGACUUGAUGAUUUGAAAAAAGAAAACUCUAUGCGUCAAAUUUUAAUUGAUUGAUUUAGCAAUUCAAAAAUAAUGUUAACAUCAUGUACUAUAAUAGAACACAUAUUAAUAAUUCAGGUAUCACAUUGGACAUUCUAAAAUAUAGGUACCACAUUGAGCAUUUUAUAAAAGUACAAGUAUCAUAAUAAAAUACAUAUUGAUAGUUUAGGUAUCAAAUUAGACAUUUUCAAAAUAUAUUUACCAUAUUAAACAUUUUUAUCAAACUACAUGCACCAAAUAUGAAAUUAUCCCACUAUAUUUUUAUUUAUAGAUAAUUUUAAUAAUUAGGUCGACGUUACUUAAUUGCUAUAAUUUAGGUCGCUUUAAUAUUUUCCGAAUUCCUAAGGAUUAAUUUUUUUCUUUAAUUAUUUUUGUGAAAGUCUUUUAAACUGAUAAAUUACAGUAGUUUAAAUUAAAUUUUUGGUUAUCCAGUUUUAAAAAUUUAUUAUAUAAUGACUUAUAUUGAGUCGAAUCCCUAAAAUUAAAAUUUACAUACUAAACCAUUAUACAAAAAUUAUUAUUGUAUAAGAGUUUUUGUUUUAGUUUAAGAUUAUUGUAAUUUUCGAGUCUGCUUAAUAGCACGGGCUAGGGUUUCUUUCGUCUGCUUAAUAGCACAAAUAUUUCUUUUGGGGUCUGUUUGUUUGGCAGUAAAAUAUUUUCCGUAAAAUGAUUUCUGGAAAAUGUUUUACUUUUCUGUAAAAUGAUUUACUGGAAAAUAUUUUCUGGUGUUUGGUAAAUCUGUGUAAAAUAUUUUUUACUGUUUGGCAGAUUUCCUGAAAAUAUUUUCCGGAAAAGUUGUUUUUACAUAUAGUAAUAUAUAUUUAUUAAUAUAUAUUAAUAAAUUAUUUUUACAUAUGUUGCAAUGAUUUAAUUAUAAUAAUACUCAAUUAUUAAGCUACAGUAUUAAUCGUUAUAAAUUGAAAAAAACUAAUAUCAAAUAAAUUAUUUGUAAUUGUGUUAAAAAAACAAGUAUUGAAUAAUUAUAAAUUGCUACGAAACCACAAUGAGUACUAGAAAUAAUAAUAUUAUUCAAAUACAUAAUUAAUGGUACACCACAUAGUAACAACAUUGUCUAGUGCAUAAUAUUACACCACGUAUAUCCAAAUACAUAAUUAAUGGUACACCACAUAGUAAGAACAUUGUCCAAGUGCAUAAUAUUACACCACAUAAAUGUAUCAAUAUCUUCAACCCUGAGAAAAUUUUUGAAGCCAAAUUUUUUUAUGCUUCUUAUUUUUAACCAAAAAAAUUUUGGCCUCUGAUUCAUGACUCCUUAUAUAAUCAAGCACAAAACACAAGAAGUCUUCAUCAAAUCCUUCUUCCUCCAUCGACAUCACUUGUUCGUAAAGCUGUGAUGUAUUAUCGGCAGUAAAUUUUUCCAAAGUAUUAGCAAUUUUGCCAAGUUGUUCACCCACAAAUUUAAUUUGUUCAUCAACGAGACUUUCUUGACCAAUUUUUCUUUUACGUUUGGAUGUGCCAGAUGAAGAUACAUUUGUUCUUACCUCUUCAGCCUCUUCAUUGUUGCAGUCUACAGGCAUUGAAUCUUCAUUACCAUCAUCCAAAUCUAUGUCAGCAAAUGUUUUGGCAAAAUUCCCUGUUGCCAUAUCUUUGCCAACAACCACAGCCAUUUCAUCAUAAUGAUCAAUGCUUUUAUUCAAAAAUGGUUCAUACUUCUUGUGUGCCUGUUGGAUAUUAUACACAAUUAGAAUAGCAAGUAAAAAACAAUUGAAAUAUACUUAACAUAUAUAUAUACAUAUAUUACCAUCACUGCUGCAUCAUAUGUCGCUCUAUCACAUGUGAUCAUUUUCAUGUUAUCAUCCCAUCCAAAACCACUUUCAGCUCGAAUUUUGCAUAUAAUCUGCCACUGGUUUUUUACUGUCCUCAAAUGAUUUUCCACAUGCUUCGCAUCGCAUUGGACUUGGAAUCUUUCUAAAAUGGCGUCAACAACUCGAUUAAUAGAAACUGCUCUGAAAGUAUUAGAAGGUUUAUUUCUUUUUCGAGCCUCCUCUGCUAGAAUUUCAAGGAAAACAUGUUCCAUCGGUUUUGUCCACCUGAAUUGCUUGGAUGUCCCUUCUUUGUUGCCCUUACCCAUUCUACAAAAUAAAUUCAACCAUUUCAAUAUCCAACAAGCUUAAAACAUAAUAAUAAAUUUAAUAUCCAACAAGCUUAAAACAUAAUCAAUAUCUAACAAAUUCAAGACAUAUAUCAAAAUCCAACAAACUAAAAUUUCAAUAUCAUUAUCCAACCAACAUUUACAAAAACAACAUUCAAAAAAAUUUAAUACUAAAACAUACAUAACAUAGAAAUAACAACCUUAAGCCCUAAACCUAAAUAUUUCUAGCCAUAUAAUCAGUCCACAUAGUUUGUGCAAUUUCAUCUCUCUUAGCAGACCAUUCUCUUGCUUCUUGUCUUUCUUCUCGCUCCGUGAGAGUUGAUAUUAUCAAAUCAGACUCAGACGCCUCGUAUAAUCAUUGAUUAAGUAAAUCACUAGGAUCAACUCCCAUUAUAUGAUUAUGAAUGAUACAACAAGCCAAAACUAUAUCUACUUGAGUUUGAAAAUUCCAAAAUGGUUCAGCAUCUAAUACACGAAACCGUUUCUUCAAAAUCCCAAAAACACGUUCAACAGUGAUUCGUAAUGAUGAAUGACAAAGAUUAAAGAGUUCCUUUGCAUUUUCAGGCCCUUCAGCACCAAACUCUUUUAAAUGAUAUCGGACACCACGAUAUGGGGUAAUACAUCCAUUUCGGAUGCCAUAUCCAGCAUCAGCAAGAUAAUAUUUACCUACAAUUUUACAAUACAUAAUUAAUACUAAUAAAUUAUGAGCUUAUUAGAACUAUUUGCUAUUUUUAUGAUAAAUAUUACCUUCCGGAAUUCUUAAUCCUCUUGGACGUGAAAGUGCAUCACUUAAAAUACGAGAAUCAUGUGCACUACCUUCCCAACCAGCUAGAACAUAGGAAAAUUUCAAAUCAAAUGUAAUGGCAGCCAAUACAUUUUGUGUCGUCCCCCUUUUACGGCUACGAAAUCUUCCUUGCAUGCUAAGUGGAACGGAUGCACGAAUAUGAGUUCCAUCUAAUGCUCCAAUACAAUCUUUAAAAUAAGGAUAAAACCUUGGAUUGUUUCUAAUUUCACUAGGAGUUGACUCAUCAGGUAAUCUAAUAACUAGUCUAUACAAUUUUAAAAUAGCUCUCAAUACAACCCUAAAGUAACGGUGAACUGUCUCAGUUGAUCUAUAAUAUCUAGAUCCAAUCACUCGAAACCUUACAUUAUGACCAAUUAUAUGUAAAGAUAUAAUUACUUGCUCCCUAAUAUUCACAGAUUUUGUUGAUUGUAACAAAUGAUUCCUACUAAGAAUAUCACACAAAUUAAAAAAAGCGAUCGGUCUCAUCCUUAUCACAUCAAUACAAUGCUGGUCACCACUAUAUAAAAUACUAUUAAUAUAAUUUUCUCUUUCAUAAUCUCGAUUCACACGAGAACGUGAAGCAAUUUUCUUCCUAGUUUCUAAUUUUUUAAUCCAAAGAGCCCCAAAAGCUAAAACUGAAGCCACGACUCCGACAAUUGCAGUUUGAUGUUGAUUACGAUCCAUCUACACAAAAUAAUGCCACACAAAUAUAUGAUCACUACAAAAAGAUGCAAGAUUUUCAUAAGAUCACAUAAAGUUACCAUGACUAAGAGUGCAUACAUACAUAUCAAGCUAAUUAUAAUUGAAAGUACCACUUAAAAUGAAAGCAUGAAAAAUGAAAGCAUUGAAAGUUCAAAAAUGAAAAAAUCGGUCCUGUCACUUCAAUUUCUAAGGCUAAAAAUUGGACUAAGCUUGUCCAUAAAGCAGCCUUAGUUAAAGAAGAAAACGCAAAAAAGCUGCUUUUGCUAUUGUUGUAUGGAUAAUGCUAAUAUUGGCAUUUACAAUACAAUUAAAUAAUGUUAUACCAAAUUUUUAUUUAGUUUAUAUAUUCAAAUGUGACUUGAAUAAAAAUAGAAUGUAAAGGGCCACCAUAGUCGACUGAAGAUGGCUGCUUCAAGCCUAUAUUUUAUUUCUGCCAAAUUUUUUUUGUGUUCAGAUUUUCUUUGCCAUUUAUAAUAUACGGGGUCGCGAAUUGCGAUACAUUUUUCUCUACUUGUAAGCCCAUUAACCAGUACACUAUGAGAAGUUUCAUGACUGAAAUUAAAUUUUGCCUGGUUUAGUUCAUUGGUUUUUAAUUUUUUUUUAAAAAAAACUGAACUUUUGGAAGAACAAUUCCUGAAUGUUUUACGUAUGCUUAAAUAGUAAGGAAGAAAUAAAUGACAAAAAGCAGGUUAUCUACAACAGCUCAUAAGGAAGAAAGACAUCAUGAGGGGCAAAAAUCUUCUAAACAAGACCCCAAACACAAGAGAUGAGCUCCUCUUAAUUGAUAGAGAAAUCAGCAAGAAAUUUGCACAAAACGACAGUAUCCAAAAUGCUUGAAAGAUAAAUGUUAAAAACAACAAUGGGAUCACAACAAGGAUUAAGAUUUGCUAAUGCUAGGUUGGGAAAAUGAAACAGGGGGAGGAUGGAAAAUUCUCAAUCUAGUGGCCAAAAUUCAUAAUAACUUCAUGUUUUUAAGGCAGAGCCAUUAGACUAAAAGUUAUUCCUUCCUUUCUUCCAAUCAAGAUGGUUAAAUUAGAUUCAAAUGGGGGAAAAUUUUGCUUCUCAGAUCAUUUGAGAAAGUAGGGGACUGUCACAAAUAUCUUUAUUAGACAGUGCCAUGCAUAUUGGCUUGUUGCACGGAAAGGAGAUACUGCCAAACAAACAGACCCUAUAUGUAGUAUUUAAAAAAAUCAGUAAAAUAGAAAAUUAAAGAAAAAGUUAAAAAAUUAUCAACUUUUUAAGUUUUGAACUAAACAAUAAAACUGGUUAUGGCAGAGAUCUUCUAGUAGUCAUUUUAACAUUGAAUUUUCUAAGGAAAUUUGGAUUGAACUGAAAGUCUUAUUGGUAUUUUUGAUUGGUUUGUUUCUCAAGCAUAAACUUUAUAUAUAUGAGUUGCUAACAAUUUUUAAUAUUCAAGAAAUAAAAGAUCAAAUCUCAAGCAUAAAGUCUCUCUAUUUGACAUUUUUAAACAAAAACUUAACAGUAAGGAUAAUCACCUCAACACUUCCUUUUAAUCCAUUAACUCAAUGCUAAAACUAAACCAUGGAAUCAAUUAUAAUGCAAAGGAAUAAAAGCAUUAACAAUUUACUCCAGUAAAGAAGACCCACGGCAUUCAGAACUACAACAACAUCUAUAUACCCUGAGUUUCUUUUAUCGUUGCAACUAGAAGGGGAGGAAUAAGUUGAAUACAGAUCACACAAUGGUCUUGUAAGUGCUGAAAAAGUUGGGUGCUCAAUAGCCCUGCAAAAAUUAGAGGAACAUCAUUGUACUCAGAAACUACUUAAAAAUUAGAGGAACUGGAAAUGCUCUUAGUCCACUUCAGCUCAACAUCUACUGUCUCCAUGAAAAAAAAAAGGAUUAUUUAACCACUGGUGAAGCUAAAAUCUCCACAUGGGACGCUACUAAUCUGCUAUCCUAUAUGAAAGCUCAAAAACGCCCCAAGCAAGUUAACAGACAUCCAUGAAUGCCUAAUAAAAUCGACAAUGGAAACACAAUACAACAAUAGUAAGAAUAGUUAUGGGGUUUCUAAAAUCCACGGUAACGUAAAUGAUGAUAAUCAUUAACUAUACAAAAAGAAGUGAACAUUAGAGUAUUAAGCUUAAUUCGUUUAAGAAAUUCAGCAACCCUAAAAUUACACAACAAAAUGCGAUAAAAUAAAGUUCAAAUUCCAACUAAGGAAUAAACAAAUAAAAAAACGAUAAGAGAUAAGAAAUGAAUCGGGUCAAUCGCAUCUACUAACUGAAGCUUUGAAGGUAGAAAUGUUGAGAUUUUUAUACAGAAAAUAGCAAGAAAAUUAAAAGGGAAAGCUUCCCUGUAGUGAAGAAUUGGGGGUCGAGUGGUGUAGGGAAGAAGAGGAUGAGUUUUCAUCCUUCUUCCGAUUUCUGGAAAAUCCAGCAAAAAACCACCAAUUUCAUAAAAAACUUGAAGCUUUUGGGUGACUCACCGACAGAUCUAUGGAGCAGAAAGAUGGAGAAGGAAGAUGCUGAGAGACAGAGAUGGCAAGGCAGAGAUGAGGAGAGGCGGAAGCUUUGAGGAAUGGAAAAUGUCUGCUGCUUAGAAGAGAACAGAAAAUGUCUGCUUAGAGAAGAAUGGAAAAUGUCUUACCAAUUUUGAAGCCGUAAGACAAUUUCCGGAGGAAUGGGCUUGAUUUUACCGUGUUUUGGAAAAUGGUUUCCUAAAGGAAUUCAUUUUCCCCCAAACAAACACCGGAAAUGAUGUAAAAUAUUUUCCGGAAACCAUUUUACAAACAAACGCACCCUUGGUUUUCUCGGUGUUUCUAGGGUUUUGCUGGGUUUUACUUGGUUUUUGAGUGCGCUUUUAGGGAUUAUUGUUUUCGUCAGGCUUUUGAAGGACGGUGGAUAAUGGGUUGGCAAAUAUCAACAUUAUGGACGAUGAGAAAGAGCCUUUGGUGUUCGCAGGUACCGACAUUGCUACAGGUCAGUUAUAUGAUUUGUGUUUCGUUGGGCGAGUUCUUACGGAUAGUGUGGUUAAUUUUUCUUCUUUAAAAAAUACAUUGGCUGAUUUAUGGCAUCCGUUGAGGGGCGUGGCUAUUUCAGAAUUGGAGGGUAAGAGGAUAUUACUUAAGUUUUACAGUGAAAUCAGUUUAAAUGAGUCAUGGAGGGCAUGCCCUGGUUUUUUAACCGACAUCUCAUUAUUCUCUAUAGAUUAAUAGAGGGUGAGGAUCCAAUCACAAUGCCUCUUCGGGAAACGGUGUUUUGUGUGCAAGUUCAUAAUCUUCUAAUUGGAGUUGUUACCGAGGGAAUGGCUAGACAAUUUGGGGAUUUUAUUGGUAAAUUCUUGGAAUAUGAUACAUCAACGGUACUCAGAGGAAUAAUUAGAGUAUUAAUGGAUAUUCGUUCUCCGCUUAAAAUGAAGAAGCGGAUUGAUAUUGGUCAGAGUAAAUCUUUUUAUGUUGUUUUCUAGUAUGAAAGAUUGUCAUUGUUUUGUUUUUUCUGUGGUCGGCUAGGGCAUGAUGAAAAUUUUUACCAAGUCCGACUAACGCUGGGGAACCAGCAAGUGGAAUUUGGGUGGGACCUGUCGCUCAGGGCUUCACCGAGAAGGGGAGGUCAACUGAAGAGUAAAUGGCUACGAGAGGAACAAGAUUUUGAUUGGUGGUCCAACAUGGAGAUUGAUGGGAAAAAACAGAAAGGAAGUUUGGCGCGUAUAUGACAAAUAACUGUGAUCGCUUAGGAGGGGAGGACAGCUGAGACGUUUUGUAAGGCAGAACCAAAAUAGGAUGGAUGUAAAGGCCUUCGAAACUAUGGAGGAGGUGGAGAGAACUGAGAAUGGCUUUGAGAUGGAGCAGAUACCGAUGGAUUUGGUUGAUGAAAAAAAGAGGCAGAUAGUUAAUUUCGAAAUGGAAAAUUUCGGGCAUAACAAAGGAGUGUUGGAGAUUGGGUUGGAAAAUAAUGUAUCGGCGACCAAUUUUACAUUGGUUGACCAGGCGCAAUGAAAAUCCUUAGUUGGUGGUUUGGGGCAACCACGAAUAGUUAGACAUCUCAAAAACAAAGUGAGACACAUUCAGCCCCAAAUAUUGUUUCUUAUGGAAACAAAAGUUAACAAUAGAAGGAUGGAGAAAAUAAGGAGGCAAUGUGGUUUUCCGAACGGCAUUGAGGUUGAUGCGGUGGGAACAAGGGGAGGUUUAUCGCUAGGAUGGAGGGAGGGGCUCAAUGUAACAUUAAAGAGCUUCUCAAAAUCACAUAUUGACGUAAAGGUUGAAGAGGAGAACGUACUGGGAGUAUGGAGAUUCACAGGAUUUUUUGAGGCAACAGUUGAGCACGAGAGGAAGGAGUCGUAGGAGCUGCUUAGGACGCUACAGAAUGGGAACAAUAACCCUUGGUUGGUCGCUGGUGAUUUUAAUGAGAUUCUCUUUUCGUUUGAAAAACAAUGAGGUAGAGUUCGAGAGGAAAGACAAAUAGCUGCAUUUAGAGCAAUACUAGAGGAUUGUGGUUUGUCAGAUCUGGGGUUAUCUGGCCAGUGGUAUACAUGGGAAAGGGGUAGGCUUGCUAGCAACAAUAUUAGGGAAAGGCUCGAUAGGGGGUUGCCAAUGCGGAAUGAUGGGAUUGGUUUCCCGAUUUUUCUGUAUGCCAUUUACAGCAUAGUUUUUCAUAUCAUUGCCCGUUAGUUGUGAACACAGGUGAGGAUAGUGAGAUGCAAGGUAAGAGGCGACAUGGGAGAUUUUGAUUUAAUGCUGAUUGGAUUCUAGAUCCAGGUUUUGAGGAGCAAGUCCAGCGUAAUUGGACCUCUAAUACUCAGGAUGUGUUGGUGAAACUAAAUGAGAUAGGUUUGGGAGUUAAAUGUUGGGCACAAAAGGAGAAAAGAUUAAGGGGACGAAGAAUAGAAGAACUAAACGUCAGACUAUUUGAUUUGGGGAAUGGUGGAAUUUGUGAUGCAGUCUUGGAGGAAAUGACUGAAAUAAAACUUCAUUUGAAUCUUGAGGCCGACAAGGAAGAGUUGUUUUGGGAACAAAGAGCAAGAACUAAUUGGCUUCGGAUGAGAGACAGAAAUACGGUAUUUUUUCACAGAAGUGCAACUGGUCGUAAGAAGAAAAAUAUGGUGAAGAAACUUGAAAGUGAUGAUGGAAACGUGGUUACCGAUUUUGAUGGGAUAUCUAAAAUAGCUACGGAUUACUUCAAUGAGCUAUUUUCUUCUAAAGAAUCUGGUGAUUGUGAGAGAUUAUUUGCGUCAUUCUCACCAUGUAUUUCGGAGGAACUUAAUAAAGAAUUGAUGGCAGAAUUUAAAGAGUAAGAGGUUGUGGUGGUGAUGAAGUUUAUACCUCCGCUUAAGGCGUCAGGUAAGGACGGAUAUCCUACGCUUUUUUAUAAAAAAAUAUUGGCAUAUCAUUGGGGAGGAUGUGACUAGGUACUGUUUAGAUGUUCUACAUGGCCGGAGGAAUAUGGAGGAGAUUAACAGAACAUGUAUUGUUCUUAUUCCUAAGGUCAAUUCACCGAAAGUGAUGAGCCAAUUUCGACCUAUAAGCUUAUGCAAUGUGCUUUAUAAAAUUAUUUCAAAAGUUCUUGUCAACCGCUUCCGCAAGGUUCUAAGUUGGUGUAUCGAAGAUAAUCAAGGAGCAUUCAUAGUAGGAAGACAAAUUACGAACAAUAUAUUUGUGGCUUAUGAAAUUCUGCACUCAUUCAAAAAGAGAAGAGGGUCCUCGAAAAAGGGCUUUGCUUUAAAGCUUGAUAUGAGCAAAGCCUAUGAUAAAAUAGAGUGGGGAUUCUUAGAUAACAUGAUGCGUCAGCUAGGGUUUUGUGAAGAUUGGAUUAUGCUUAUUAUGAGGCAUAUUUCUAGUAUCUCGUAUUCAGUUGUGCUGAAUGAAAGAAUUGGGGAGGAAUUUAGGCCUCAAAGAGGUCCGAGACAAGGAGGUCCACUCAGCCCGUAUUUGUUCCUUAUUUGUACGGAAGGUUUUCACAACUAAUCGCGUUAGCUAAAAGGGAAGGAAGGCUUGUUGGAACUAAGAUAGGAAGGGGUAAUGUUACAGUCUCACACUUGUUUUUUGCAGAUGAUAGCAUCCUUUUUAGUGAUGCUUCGGUUGAAGGAGUAAGUAAUAUGAAGGUUGUCAUCAAUGAAUAUGAAAGGAUGUCAGGUCAGUUGGUGAACUUUGAUAAGUCCCUAAUUUAUUUCAGCAAUAAUGUAGAUUUGGAGACACAGGCACAGGUGGGAGGAGUUUUGGGUGUGAGAAUAUCUAAUAAUCCGAAAAGAUAUUUGGGGCUGUUGACUAUGGUUGGGAGACGAAAAAAAAUGCAUUUGUGCAUAUCAAAGAACGCUUUAUAAGCGUACUGAGCGGGGAGGGGGGAAAGAAGUAUUUUUGAAAUUUAUUUUACAAGCCAUCUCGAUUUAUGCAAUGCAGUGUUUUAAACUUUCAACCUAGAGAGUCUUAUGAGUAAAUUCUGGUGGAGGAACCCCAAAACCAAUAAAGGCAUACAUUAGUGCAAGUGGAGUUAUUUGUGUAUCCCCAAAACGAAGGGAGGUCUCGAUUUUAAGGAUUUAGAAAAUUUUAAUCUAGCCAUGUUAGCGAAGAGGGUUGGAAAAUCAUUAUGCAACCUCAAUGUCUAUUUGCUCGAGUCAUGAAAGCAAAAUAUUUUCCAAUAGGGGAUUUUAUGAGUGCUGGGUUAGGAUCUUAUCCUUCGUUUACCUGACGAAGUAUAUGGAGUGCUAGACAAAUCCUAGAGGAGGGUAUGAGGUAGAGAGUUGGGAAUGAAUCAAUUAACAUUUGGAACGAUAGCUGGAUGCCGGGGCUAGGAAGUGGAAGAGUGUAAUGUCAAAACAUAGAUAUUAGAUAUACAAAUGUCUCUGAUUUAAUUGAUAGGGAUACCAAUACCUGGAAGCAAGACGUUAUCAGAUUCUUAUUUGGGGAGGAGCAGUUAAGGAGUAUUCUUUCAAUCCCUUUAAUGAGCAGUCAACCUUAUGAUCAGCUAAUUUGGCGAGGAGAUAAUACAGGGCAGUACACAGUCAAAAGUGGCUAAAAUGGAUCAAUACAAGCGGAAGUUAUAGAUUACAUACCGACAGUCCUACCACUUUCUAUACAAAGCUGUGGGGACUUAAUAUACCGAGCAAAAUUUGUAUCCUUAUGUGGCGAAUAGCCAAUGAUUUUUUGCCCACGUUAUACAACCUAAGACUGUGGAAAUUGGAAACUAAUUCAUUAUGCCUGGUGUGUCAAACUGAGGAGGAAACAGUGAGCCAUCUGUUUCGGGAUUGUUCUUUCACACAACAGGUUUUGCGAAGGUUAGGAGUGCCAGACGUAACAUGUAAUAGAAAACCUAAUUGGAAAUAGUGGUUAGCAAAAGUAGUUGAAAGCCAGAAUGCAGAAAGUAAUAUGAUUAGAUUGAUCAGUUACUGGGCUAUAUGGUAUAACAGUAACAAGCUUUAUCAUGAAGGAAUCAAAGAACAAGUUCAUGGGUUAGUAGCGUUUAUCGAUACCUAUCAUACAGAAAUUAAUGUUAUGGGACAAAUAUCAAAAAAUGCGAAUGGUGUGGUGGAAGUUUCUUGGAAACCUCCAACAGGUGACAUUAUUAAAAAUAAUUAUGAUGCAUCAUUCGACCAGGGCACGGGAAAAUCAGUUUCCGGAAUAUUAGCACAAAAUAGAGAAGGUCUUGUAAUGGCUGCUUGUAUCUUUCCUUGGGAGAACAUUCCAGAUUCAAUGAUGGCGGAGGCAAGGGCGUGUCUGCAAGCAGUUACCAUCGCGAAGGAAAUGGGAUUUCAGGACAUUCUUGUGCAGGGUGAUGCGUUGACCAUAAUCCGCAAACUAAACUCUGCUGAGGAUGAUAAGUUGAGCAUUAGUAGCCUGAUUAAAGAAAUCAAAUGGAGAGGUCAUAGAUUCAAAAGGUUACGUUUUGAGUAUGUACCUCGAGAGGCCAACAAAGUGGCUCAUGGAAUGGCGCUAGAAGGAAGACAACAUGAAAACCCCCAAUACUAGAUUGAGGAAGCUCCGCUCGCGGUGGUUGGAUUGAUUGACCACGAUAGAGGCAGAAUAAGCUAACGGUGUUGAAAUGGCAAAGUCGAGUCCGGACAUUGUGAUAGUGGGUGGGUCCGAAGAACUUGUAAUUUUAACGGAGACUGAGAUUUUGAAGGUUGAUUUUUGUGGGAAGCUUGGUCUCGCAAUCGACUAGUACCGAUGGGUGUUCUUCAUGCAAAAGGAGAGUAAAGGUUUUCAGGCCUAAUUUUUUAGUUUCUCUGUCGUUUUAUGUUCUGAGAUUAUUUUAGUGUUUUUAUUUUAUUUUACAUUAAUUAGUUUUCUUGAAAGUACUGUUUAGGUAGCCAGCUGUUGGUGUAUAGUUGUUAGCAUUUCUUUUCCUAUGCCUGUAAUUAAAUCAUAUUUCCUCCCAUCAAUGCAGUAUCGGCUGAGUAGUAUUAAAAAAAAAAUUAUAGUAAUUUCCAUAAAAGGAUUUUACAAACCGUUAGAAAUUGAAGUAGAUGGUAAUGUUGGUACACAACGUCAAAGAAAAAAUAAAACAUUUAUUACUUUCUUCUACUUGGUAGAUGGAGUGGAGAUCUUGGUCAAGGCAUAUAUAUAUAUACCACAAGAAAGAAAUGAUAAUGUUCUUAAAUUAAUUUCAACAUUAGUUCACAGUUUUUCUUUUAUUCAAUUUAAUCUUGAUUUUAAAUGUAAUCUAUUAAUGUUAUUGAAUUUAGUUAAUAUUUUUAUGACCUCUAAUCAUUAAUGUUUUUGCAUGUAUUACAUAUGUGUAAUUCAAUUAACUUGGUUAUUGUGAUAGUUGUUUGGAUACUUAUAACAUUUAAAAAACUUGGUUGACGAGAAGCAAAUAUUUUUUCAAGAAAUGAGAGAAAUAAAUAAAUAUAACAUUUAUACCAUUUGUUCAUGGUAUAUUUUCAUCAUAAGUCCCUCUGCCACUUGUAUUAUUAAUUUACAUUAUUAAUCCUUUGUAUUUUACAUAUGUCACAAAUUAAUCUUAUUAAUUAGUACUAUUUUUAAAAGAAGGUUUAAGGGUGUAAAAAGCUCUCGCACUUUAAAAAUAAAAACAAUUAAAAAAAAUUUCUCACUCAAUUGGGUACCUAAACUGUAAAAAUGCAUCCAAAAUGCCCUUUUAACGAUCAAAGGGCUUCUUUAAAACAUUUUGGUAGUUUAGAUACCCAAUUGAGUCAAAUGGUUUUUUUUAUGCAUUUUGACAGUUUAGAUACGCAAAAAAAAAAGAGGAAAAAAAAGAGCAAUGACUUAAUUUCUUUUAAAGUUUGGAUUUUUUUACACUCUUUAAGCCUUAAAAGAAAUGAAUUUCAUCUAUUUUUUACAAUUAUUUUAAAACUAAUACAAAAUGUUAGAAUAUUUGAAGUAAAAGUGUAUGGAAAUAAAUAAUGAAAUUUAAAUAUAUUAAAAAUGUAUUAAAUAUUAAUAUUAAAAAGUUUUUUAAAAUCUUAAUAUUUUAAAAUUUAAUUAUUUAAGGCAGAAUAUUUGAUGCAUUAUUAUCAAUACAUAGGUUUCAUGUAUCAUCAGUUAAUAAUAAGAUGACACAUUAUCACUUAUGUAAAACAAAAAAUAUUGAAGGGUUUAAAAAUAAAUAUAAAUAAAUUUAUCUUUUUAAAAAGUAAAUAUUAAUUAUCAUCAUUAAACAUAAAAAUAAAAAAAAUCAAAUACGAAAUUUGAAAUCCAAAACCUCAAAACCAAAAUUUGAAACCAAAAAAAUUAAACCUAAAACUUGAAAGAAAAAUAACAAAUAUAAUUAAUACUUAAUUAUGUUUAAUAAGUUAAUAUUAUUUAUUUUAAAGUCUUUCACUGUUUUUUUAUUUUACAUUGUAUGAUUUUAUUAUUAAUUAAUGGUGUAAAAUUGUGGAAACCUAGAUUAUCACAGCAAUUAAGAUAUUAUUAAAGUUUUUCGUUCAAUUUCGUAGUGUUCUCACUUUAUUUCUCAUUUAAAUGCAUUUCAAAAAGACUCAAAACACUAAAUUUCAUCUGCCAUAUCUAAAGAAGAAAUAUUUAACUGAAAAACCAAAAAAAAAAAAAGCUCGGGUAAGACCAAAAUUUAACAAUAUCAUGUUAUUAAAAUAAUAUAAUCAUCAAAGCCGAUAUUAAAUUAUUACAAUAACGAGAAUUCAUAAGACAAAUGACAUUGUAAUUCAUGAAUAAUCUGAUGAAUUGUUUUUUUUUUCUUUUAAUUAAUAGUUCCUAUUCUCAACCAGCAUGCGCACAUCAUUACACAGCAGACUCCGAUAGCCAUUUAGCCAUAUAAUUACCAAUCGUGUUAUAGACCCUCGGCACCUUUUCAAGUUCGACCUCCCAGCGCCGUUGUAGCAGCACCAUAAUCCUCCGAACCAGUGAGCAAUCAUGCCAGCCAUCAGUUGCAGCACCUCAUUGUUGUUGCUCUCGACUAUCAACUGUCGAUAAACUUUAUCCAAACCACCAAGAACCACCCACAACUCCAAGUGGAGAACCACCGCUAUGCCAAGCUGCCUAGUAAACACAACAAUCCGGCUUAAAUGGCAAUUGAUUGUAUCUUGAAGUAAAUAGUUUAUUACGUCUUGUUUCUUUUCGUUUGUAAUGAGAUUAUUAAGAUUUUGUUUUCAUUGAAAAUUUUAUGAUAUUUUGUUAUUUUUCAUGUUAGAUUCUAGUUAUGAAUGUGCUUUCUCUUUGGAGCUUGGAUAAAUUUCAACAUUUUUGUAGUCAGAAAUUGCAUUAAUAAGAUUGAAGUUAUUAGUUUAUUGCAUCUGGUUUUUCUUUUCAUUAUAAUGAAAUUAGUAGGAUUCUAUUUUCAUUGAAAAUUAUAUGAAUUUUUUUUUUCUAUGUUUCUAAUUGACAAUAUACUUUCUUUUUAGAUCUUGACAUGUUUUAACAUUUUUGCAGUUACAAUUUGCCUUAAACAAGAUUGAAAUAAUUACUUUUGUAAUACUUCAGAGUUAAUUGCAUUUUGAUAAAUGGAUAUAUUUUAUAUAACUUUUCAAACAUAGGACUAAAUUAACUUUUUUUUAGAAUUAAUAUUAAAUUGGGACUAAAUUUAAUAGUGUCAGUAUAUUUAAUGCGGACUCGUAUUUGAGGUUCCGUUCGCGGUGAAUCUGAUGAAAAUUUGAUGAAGAUAGUGACUAUAGCACUGAAUUUGAAAAUGAGAUUUGAUUCAGAGCUAUCCUUUCCACACAAAAAUGGUGGAAUUAUCAAGGGAGCUAUCCAUUCCACACAAUUAAACAGGUUUAUACCCGAUGAACUCAAAGCAUAAAAGGAUACACAAUAUUCCAAAACCAGGUAUUAAAUAUAAGUUCCAUAGAAGUUUGACCGCAAACUGACACUAAUUUUUCAAAAAAAAAUCUCGUACAAUAAUAGCUAUUAACAUUAAUGUUCUCAAAACCCUUGAAUAUUAAAUAAUAAAAUAAAAUAAAAUAAAAAAGCACCACAAUCCACUCUCCAGCUCCAAACAUCCUUUUAAGCAGCAACAUGGUUCAAAGAUGGAUUGUAAGGAAGGAAUUAAGCACCAAUUGUCCGCCCACCGCCAUCUCCAUAGGACCCAUCAUCUUAAUGGUGGUGAUACGGUGAAAAGCUAAAAUAAUAAUACGUCAAUAUCAAGUACACCAUCCUACAAUGAUCCCCAACUCCCCCCACAUAAACCAGACUUUGGAGUUCACUUGACACCGCACACAAAAAAAGCCAACUAAAUGCAAAAUGUAGAUCACCAUCAAAAGCAAUUACAAAACUUAGAAGCACUUCCUGUGGACAAUGGAUGGACCGGAUUCAUCAUACUCACCCUUGGAAAUCCACAUCUGUAAAGCAAGAACGUCAGUGUCAGACAACCAUCACACGAAAGAAGUAAAGCCAAAAAUACAAAAAUAUUUACCUGCUGGAAG